ACGAAGAAAACUUUGCAAGCGCUCACUUACUGUCCAGGCCUCGCUGGGUGACCGGACCCUGGACGGAGUGCUCGAAAACCUGUGGGGUGGGUACACAGAAACGCACUGCCCGUUGUGUCAAUGAACCCGUGGAGGGCAAGGAGGUCAAAGUGCCUAGAGUGGAGUGCCAGGGGCCCGAGCCUGUGACGUCACGCAAGUGCACCGUUGCGGACUGUCCUGAGAAAACGUCAUCACCGCCUGUCAUCAAGGCGGUGAACUACACCUUCACUCAGCUGCCGACGUCUCUAAAGCGACAGGCAUGCUGGUUUGGGA